rnacentral:rRNA from 1 species
GGGCGUAAAGCGGGCGCAGACGGUUACUUAAGCAGGAUGUGAAAUCCCCGGGCUCAACCUGGGAACUGCGUUCUGAACUGGGUGACUAGAGUGUGUCAGAGGGAGGUAGAAUUCCACGUGUAGCAGUGAAAUGCGUAGAGAUGUGGAGGAAUACCGAUGGCGAAGGCAGCCUCCUGGGAUAACACUGACGUUCAUGCCCGAAAGCGUGGGUAGCAAACAGGAUUAGAUACCCUGGUAGUCUACGCCCUAAACGGUGUCGAUUAGCUGUUGGGCAGCUUGACUGCUUAGUAGCGAAGCUAACGCGUGAAAUCGACCGCCUGGGGAGUACGGUCGCAAGAUUAAAACUCAAAGGAAUUGACGGGGACCCGCACAAGCGGUGGAUGAUGUGGAUUAAUUCGAUGCAACGCGAAGAACCUUACCUGGUCUUGACAUGUACGGAACCCUCCAGAGACGGAGGGGUGCCUUCGGGAGCCGUAACACAGGUGCUGCAUGGCUGUCGUCAGCUCGUGUCGUGAGAAG